GAUGAAGAACUCAGCGAAAUGCGAUAAGUAAUGUGAAUUGCAGAAUUCAGUGAAUCAUCGAAUCUUUGAACGCACAUUGCGCCCGCCAGUAUUCUGGCGGGCAUGCCUGUCUGAGCGUCAUUUCAACCCUCAUGCCCCUAGGGCGUGGUGUUGGGGAUCGGCCAAAGCCCGCGAGGGACGGCCGGCCCCUAAAUCUAGUGGCGGACCCGUCGUGGCCUCCUCUGCGAAGUAGUGAUAUUCCGCAUCGGAGAGCGACGAGCCCCUGCCGUUAAACCCCCAACUUUCCAAGGUUGACCUCAGAUCAGGUAGGAAUACCCGCUGAACUUAAGCAUAUCGAUAAGCGGAGGA
rnacentral:misc_RNA from 1 species